GACGAACGCUGGCGGCGUGCUUAACACAUGCAAGUCGAACGGAAAGGCCCUGCUUUUGUGGGGUGCUCGAGUGGCGAACGGGUGAGUAACACGUGAGUAACCUGCCCUUGUCUUUGGGAUAACUUCAGGAAACUGGGGCUAAUACCGGAUAGGAGCUCCUGCUGCAUGGUGGGGGUUGGAAAGUUUCGGCGGUUGGGGCUGGACUCGCGGCUUAUCCGCUUCUUGGUGGGGUAGUGGCUGACGAAGGCUUUGACGGGUAGCCGGCAUGAGAGGGGGACCGGCGACAUGACGACUGAGAGACGGCGCAGACGCCAACGGGAGGCAGCAGUGGGGAAUAUUGCACAGUGGGCGGAAGUCUGAGGCAGCAGCGCCGGGUGCGGGAUGACGGCCUACGGGGGGUAAACAGCUGUGGCCGGAGCCGAAGAGUGAGUGACGGUAAUGGGUAAGGAAGCACCGGCUAACUACGUG
rnacentral:rRNA from 1 species